CGUCCUCAAUCCACCUUUCCGACAUGCAGCAAGGGAGGGAGGUGGCGAGCUGAGAGCACAGCUACUCGCCAGCCAGUCAGCCAGGCAGGAUGCUGCCAUAA